GCGGGGGGCAGGGCUGGUCUGUAAGUAGUGACGUGGGGGUGCCCAGCCCCUCUGGGAUGAGCAGCUGCCGGGUCACGAGGCCCACAGCGAUGGCCACGCUGGACACAGACUUCCCUGAGGUCCAGGACAGAGGGGGCGGACAGUUUCCUGCAGGCAGAGAAGGUUCCACGAGCCGCACACUCGUGGCCUGUCUCUGCCUCCUCGCCAAGGGUUCCCCCAGGAUGUGACAGGUAAGUGUGAGAAGAGAGAGGACUGGGGGACAAGGGUCUUCUUCCCCUCUCCACUAGAAGUGCACAGUCCACCCCGUCCCUCCGCGUCAGUUACGGAAGCUGCCCUGACUCGGCCCUGCGGCAGGAGCCCCACGGCCUGGCUGGUCUCAUUCUGGAACGUGGCGGUAGGGGCUCCGUACCCUCCACGGUCGGGACCACACUCUCCAAGGUCAGCCUGACAGGUAACGAAGGUGAGAGUCUGGCCUUCACACACCUUAUCUGGUUUGUCGUUUUCUCUCAUUUCUCAAUUCAGGAAAGAAAGGGGUGGUAUUUACUAAGUGGCCUCAAAUCCUAACGCUUUUCAAUUUAAAAUCUAGAAAUGGCGGAAAAGGAAGUAGAUGCUCUUCAGCACCAGAAAUGGAAGGGUCUGGUCUGUGAACCGGGAAGAGGAGGAGGGGAGCCCACAGUAGUAAAUGGGGGUAAAACCCCUGUCCACGUCCCACAGGGCGCCAGGCCAGGUCCGCUGCCCGCUCAGGACGGGCCCCAGCCACACAGCCCAGGCCCUCUUUCUGAAGCUGGAAGAACCACGUGUGCCCUGGGCCGUGGCUACCACUGGGGGACAGAGGGCGGGAUGGAUCGUACUGGGCCCGUGUCCGUGGUCCUGCGCCAUCCGCCCUGGUGAAGGCGCCGAGCUGAGCAGCUGCGGAGCUGUGGCGCUUGGGAGGGACAGGUGACUUGGAGAUGCCCCAGGGUGACGCGGGGGAAAAGACCCGACUGAAGACGGCUUCGCACAGGGCACGACAGAAACCCCCACCCCAAUCAACAGUAACCAGACUCAACAGAGGGAGCAUUCGUAACCAAGUAUUUCAGGCUUGGGAUGAGGGGAGGCACACUCUUUCUGUAAAGAACCAGAGUGCAGGGCACACGGUCUCUGGACAGGACCUACAGAAAACACGUCUAAGAAUGGGUACGACCGUGUUCCGGGAAACUUCGUUCACCGGAACAGGUGACGGGCCAUCGUCUGCUGACUCCUGAUUAGUCAGGCUCCAUUUCCCAACCUCCUGCUUAGGUGGGUGCUGUGACAUGUGGCCGCGCGACUGGCUGUGGGCACUUAGACAUUCACGUCCCUGCAGGGAGGGCACGCGCCCUCCUCUUCCCAUUCUCCCACUUCCUGUUCUUCCCGCCUGGGAUGCGGACGUGUGGUGCGAGGGAGAGCAGCCACUCUGGACCCUCAGCAGAAGCCACGUGCUGACAAAGGAGUUGGAGCAGCCUGGGCCCCCGCCCCCGCCUUCCGCCAGCCCAGCAUGAGCCCCCACCGCCCCUGCCACCCCCACCAGUGAGUCCCCACCGCCCCCACCAGGGAGUCCCCUCCGCCCAGGCCCCCGCCCCAGAAGAAGACAAUCUACUCUGAGAAGGUUUUCACAGAACAGUCUUACCUGCUUACUUGCCAAUUAGGAAACAAUGAAAACUUCGUAGAGUUUUAAAAAUGUGCUUUAUAAAACCACUUUCAGGGAUAAGGCCGACUGUGAAAUGAUCACUUAUUUUUAGCAAACAGGAUAUGUGAAUUCAGAAACCCAGUUCCUCCAAUCAUGAUGCCCCUACGACAGCUCUGAAUCCCUGCUUUGGAUCUGUCCGCACACGGGAUCCCCCGGGAUCACGAACUUGCACUCUCUCUGUUCUCGUCAAACAUACCAGAACCCAGCCUUGUCACUGGUGGGAUCAAGGCCACCUUCCUGAGACGGACACCUUGUCAUCAGCAAGAUGUUCAGACGGGUGAGCUCCAAGUUCUGGGGAGGUUCUCAGAACGGCAGCACCGAUGAAGACAGUGGUUUGCCCUCUCGAGGUCACUGCUCUAAGUGGGAUAAACCCCCCUUCGGUUCUAAAUGUCAGCUGCACUGCCCUGUAAUCACGCCUGGUCCCUAAAACACACGGGGGAGGACUCUGGAGACCGUUCCAGUAAGAUCAUCCCUAAUAGACUCACUACAGACGUAGUUCUUCAGAAGCUGCUUGAACAAAUCCGUUCUUUGUAUCCCUCACUGGUGUUUAUUCCUCUGUAAUAAUCGAGUGCCAAAAACAAAGCUGAAAAGGUCCAAGUUUGGGUAAGUGGGAAAUUACUACCCACUUAAGUUCAGAAAUUAACAAAUAAAUGUUUUGGGGGCACCUGGGUGGCUCAGUCGGUUAAACGUCCGACUUCGGCUCAGGUCAUGAUCUCGCGGUCCGUGAGUUCGAGCCCCGCGUCGGGCUCUGUGCUGACCGCUCAGAGCCUGGAGCCUGCUUCGGAUUCUGUGUCUCCCUCUCUCUCUGCCCCUCCCCUGUUCAUGCUCUGUCUCUCUCUGUCUCAAAAAUAAAUAAACGUUAAAAAAAAAAAAUUAAAAAAAAAA